rnacentral:rRNA from 1 species
AACGAACGCUGGCGGCAGGCUUAACACAUGCAAGUCGAACGCCCCGCAAGGGGAGUGGCAGACGGGUGAGUAACGCGUGGGAACAUACCCUUUUCUACGGAAUAGCUCUGGGAAACUGGAAUUAAUACCGUAUACGCCCUACGGGGGAAAGAUUUAUCGGGGAAGGAUUGGCCCGCGUUGGAUUAGCUAGUUGGUGGGGUAAAGGCCUACCAAGGCGACGAUCCAUAGCUGGUCUGAGAGGAUGAUCAGCCACAUUGGGACUGAGACACGGCCCAAACUCCUACGGGAGGCAGCAGUGGGGAAUAUUGGACGAUGGGCGCAAGCCUGAUCCAGCCAUGCCGCGUGAGUGAUGAAGGCCUUAGGGUUGUAAAGCUCUUUCACCGAUGAAGAUAAUGACGGUAGUCGGAGAAGAAGCCCCGGCUAACUUCGUGCCAGCAGCCGCCGCAG